rnacentral:lncRNA from 1 species
GUCGAAUAUAUUUAUUUUGGUCUUGAGGUCUUUUGAGAGAUUUUUUUGUUCUCUGCUUUUCGACAUUAAUAAAAUAUUAGUUUUUGAUCCGUGCGAUGCAUGGAUAAUAUAAUAAUAUAAAAUAACAAAAGUUAUUAUGUGAUGAUAAAAAAAAUUCUAAUUAAUAUUAUAUUUUUUUAACAAAUAAAAAAAUAUACUAUCAAUCUUAAUUAUAAUACAUAUUAAAGUACAAAAGUUAGAGAAAAAAAUUAUGGACCAAAAUAAAUACUCAAGUAAAAAGCAAAAUUCAACCCUAUUCUAUUAUCUAUGAAUUGAUGUGCAAAAUAAUUCACAUUUACAUAUUGAUGUGCAAAACAGAAUGAUAACUAAAAUUGAUAUAAAAAAUUACAAAUGACAUUAAUAUUUAAGAACUAACUCUAAGCUAUUCACCACCUCUGGACGAUGAAAUUCAGGUAUAAUAUACAGACAAAUCACUCUGACUUUGAUCUUCCAUUUGUCGCCAAGAGGAAUGAUGUCAUGUAUAGAAUCAUGUCCAAGUGCCACAUCCUGAGAACAAUAAGACAUCCAAGACAAAAAAAUUAAUACUUGCUUCGUAUUUAAAUAAUAAAAUGAAAAUAAUAUGUUUUAUUUUAAAGCAUCGACAUCUAAGAACUAAGAAAAUUACAUAAGGAGUGAUAGUAGGGAAAAAAAUUACGAAGUGAAAAUUACAGAAUGAGUGAUAGUAUGGAAGUGACAUGCAAUAUCUAUACUAUUUAUAAAGGCGUGAGGUUUGAAUUUUUUCCUCUUUCCAAAAAUGUCUAUCUUUUUUUACUAAUAUUUUUAUGUCCAGUAAUUUUCAACCAAUCAUUUCAAAUAAUUAACUAAGUAAUAAUUUAUUCCCAAAUAAAGAUAUUAAUUUUUUGCCAUUAGAUCUUAUCUAAUGAUUGAAAAUAAAAGUAUCUGUCACUUUUUGUGACAAUAAUACCCUCGCAUUUAUAUCAUACUUUCUAUCUAUGCGUUUUUCAAAUAUUUUCCUUCUCACGCGGAAUAUUCGUAUCCGCGAUGGAUCGACGGACGGCGAUGGAUCGCGACGCCCGUCGGGGGCGUGUUCGGCGGCGCAUCGUUCGAGGCCACUGGGGCGCUCACAACGGUCUCUGGAGGCGCGACGUACGAGAGAGGAAGGGCGCUAAUACCAAGAGUAGGGGAGAAGAUGUUGGGGUGCUAUGGUUACGAGAGAAUGGAAGGGUCUAUUGGGUUUAUGGGU